rnacentral:rRNA from 1 species
GGGGAAUAUUGCGCAAUGGGGGAAACCCUGACGCAGCGACGCCGCGUGAGCGAAGAAGGCCUUCGGGUUGUAAAGCUCUGUUGUAAGGGACGAAAGAAUAAGGGAGUAACUGCCCUUGAAGUGACGGUACCUUACCAGCAAGCCCCGGCUAACUACGUGCCAGCAGCCGCGGUAAGACGUAGGGGGCGAGCGUUGUCCGGAAUUACUGGGCGUAAAGAGCACGUAGGCGGGUGUUUAAGUCAGGUGUGAAAGACCGCAGCCUAACUGCGGGGUUGCACUUGAAACUGAACAUCUUGAGGGCAGGAGAGGUUAGUGGAAUUCCUGGUGUAGCGGUGAAAUGGGUAGAAAUCAGGAGGAACACCAGUGGCGAAGGCGACUGACUGGACUGACCCUGACGCUGAGGUGCGAAAGCGUGGGUAGCAAACA